CAAUAGCGUAUAUUAAAGUUGUUGCAGUUAAAAAGCUCGUAGUUGGAUUUCUGGGAGGGCGCCAAUGUCCGCUUGUUCGCGUGCGCAGCGGCGCCCUUCCAUCCUUCUGUUAACGUUUCUUGGUAUUCAGUUACUGGUUUCGGGCUCAGAUAUUUUACCUUGAGAAAAUUAGAGUGUUCCAGGCAGGCUUGCGCCGGAAUACAUUAGCAUGGAAUAAUAGAAUAGGACUUUAGUCUCCUUUGUUGGUUUGAGGGACUGAAGUAAUGAUUAAUAGGGAUAGUUGGGGGCAUUAGUAUUUAAUUGUCAGAGGUGAAAUUCUCGGAUUUGUUAAAGACUAACUUAUGCGAAAGCAUUUGCCAAGGAUGUUUUCAUUAAUCAAGAACGAAAGUUAGGGGAU
rnacentral:rRNA from 1 species